GAUGAACGCUGGCGGCGUGCCUAAUACAUGCAAGUCGAGCGAACGGACGAGAAGCUUGCUUCUCUGAUGUGAGCGGCGGACGGGUGAGUAACACGUGGAUAACCCACCUAUAAGACGGGGAUAACUUCGGGAAACCGGAGCUAACACCGGAUAAUAUCCUGAACCGCAUGGUUCAAAAGUGAAAGACGGUCUUGCGGUCACUUAUAGAUGGAUCCGCGCUGCAUGAGCUAGUUGGUAAGGUAACGGCUUACCAAGGCAACGAUGCAUAGCCGACCUGGGAGGCUGAUCGGCGACCCGGGAGCGGGACCGCGCUCCUGGCUCCUGAGGGAGGGCGCAGUAGGGUAUGUGACGCAGUAGGCGAGAACCUGACGGAACGGCGCCGCGUGAGUGGUGACGAUGUUCCGUGCGUAAGAAUCUGUUAUUAGGGAAAAACCUAUGUGUACGUAACUGUGCAGAUCUUGACGGUACCUAGUCAGAAAGCCACGGCUAACUACGUG
rnacentral:rRNA from 1 species